UACCUAGGGGGCAAGCGAUGUCCGGAGUUACUGGGCGUAAAGCGUCUGUAGGUGGUGAUGCAAGUCACUGGUGCAAAACUCUGGCUCAACCGGAGGAAAGCCAGUGAAACUGCAUGACUAGAGUGAGGGAGAGGUAGAAGGAAUUCCCUGAGUAGCGGUGAAAUGCGUAGAUACAGGGAAGAACACCGGAGGCGAAAGCGUUCUACUGGAACACAACUGACACUGAGAGACGAAAGCUAGGGGAGCGAAUGGG
rnacentral:rRNA from 1 species